rnacentral:rRNA from 1 species
UAGGGAAUCUUCCACAAUGGACGAAAGUCUGAUGGAGCAACGCCGCGUGAGUGAAGAAGGGUUUCGGCUCGUAAAACUCUGUUGUUAAAGAAGAACAUAUCUGAGAGUAACCGUUCAGGUAUUGACGGUAUUUAACCAGAAAGCCACGGCUAACUACGUGCCAC